CCAACUAUAAAAAACUUCUCAAAUUCUUUUUCCAAAAACCGGAAAAAACAAAGUUAGAAAUUCUGCUACAUUUCACUCUUAAAUUUAGCCAAUUUCUAUUUGAAGUGAUUUUCAUCAAAUCUAUAUUCAAAAAUUGAAACCCUAAAAAUCGAAAUGGGAAGAUCUAUUGUGUAACUAAUCCGAUGCAACAAGUUCUAUUGUAGGAGAUGAUUUUCCAUUGAAGAAUUUGUUGCAAUCAAAACCAAAGAAGUCGAAGUAACAACAUACUACACCAAAUAUUGAUGCGGAGUUGUUGGAAAGUAUAAACAAAGAAAGUGCAGAAACUGGAACACAAGAGGAAGAAAACGAUCUUGAAAAACAAAAGAAAGAACUGCAAGAGCAACAGAAGAUGGUGGAAGGGCUUCAAAAGAAGUUGAUAUAACAUGAGAGGAAGCUGGAGAUAAUAGAACAAAAGCAGAUUGCUGAAACAAAUUGGAAGAUAAAGAACAAAAGAAUGCAGUGGAAGAUCCUGCGAAGCAGGAAGGAAAGGAGAAACCCGAGGAAGAGCAUAACAUAACAAAAGAACAUACUGAAGAUGGAAGAAUAGAGGAAGAGGUAAAAGUUCCUGAGAAGCAGGAUGAACCUGAAAAGAAAGAAGAAGCCGGUGAAAAAAAUACGGCAAUAGAAGUUGAGAAUCAACCUGAAAAAAAGGAAGUUAACUUUUACCCUGAGAGAGAAGAAAGACGGACAAGAAGGUGGUGAAGUACCUCAAAGUGAGGUGGAAGUACAUCAAAAAACAAAGGGGAAAUCAAAGAAAACAAUACCAAAUAGGAAAAGAACAAGAUCUCAAACGUGGAAGGAAGAAUUUCCUGAGCUUAUCCACAGCGUGAAGGAGGAAUUUGAAGCUGAAGAGAGGAAGAAGGCCUCAUUACCUGAAGAAAGUUCACAUAGGGGCCAAAAAAACAAAAAAAGGAAAAAAUGUCAUCAUUGAGGACCAUGAAAAAGUUGACGAGGAAGAACAACUUGCCCCAGUUGGUAAGAAGGGGAAGGGAGUUUCUUUGAAAAAGACCACCGCCUCAACUAAGGUGAACUUCAAAUAUAUUUUUUCUCUUUCUAUAUUCUUUAUUUACCUCUAUGUUGUUUUAUAAUGUAAACAAAGAUCAUUAUAUAAGAAUGUUCUUUUGUUUCUCUCUAAUGUACUUUAUACCUUAUUUAUGUUCUUUUUCCUUCAGAGUGGUAGGAAAAAAAAUCAGAUCGUUGUUUAUUCUGAUUAUGAAGACGAGGAAGCUUCACUACUACAAAAUAGGGAAUAGAAAGCGCUGAAUAGAGAACGGUUAUGUUUGUUAAGCGUUGUCUAGGGAUAUAGAGAACGCAUUUCUCUUAUAACUGUUGUAUGAGAAAAAGAAUAGAGUAUUAUUGUCUUACCUAACUGUCUUAUAUUCUUUACCAUAAUUUAAAAAAAAGUUAUCAAAUUUAAAUUUUUUGAAUAAAAUAUAAAGUUGUAUUAAAGAUACCCUCUUUGUAUUCUUUUACAACAAAAAAUAAACUUUAAUUUAAAAAUCUGCGUUUAAUUUUUUUCCAAAAUCAAUAGCUCACUUAACAAACUCAAACAAUUUUUUUAAAAAGAAAAAAAGUACCAAAACAAGAUUUUAUGAGUUAGGCGGCAGAUCCGCAUAAUCCCUCAAGAAAACCCUGUUCUUAUCAAAGAUGGUAGUGCAGGGCAUGGUUGAUACUCACAAGCAGGGCCGCAGGGAGUAAGAGAGAGGAAAAGGGGGAAAAAGAAAACAAAAGAAGUAAGGGAUGGUUGAACUCUUCAUGCGAGUGUUUCUACUUAUUCAGGUCCAGAAUCAAGACUGUUUAACACAUCAGAAUAUUUGAGGCCAAGGAAGAAGAUUAAGUAGAGCGACCAGUUCUUUUGAAGCUGAUGUUCCGGCAACGAUUUCCAUGAAGUUGAUGUUCGGAAGAAUUGAAGUUGUUUUACUAUGCUGGCAACACUAGUUUGGUUAAAGCUCAUGGUUCACUGGGUGGGCAGUAGGUUAGUUGUACUAGGUUACAAGUUAAAGGGUAUGGAAUAUGGUGUAGGUAUAAAGGGUAUGAAGUAUAUGGUGCAAUACGUUAUUGUAGGUUUAUUUAGUCUUUGUUUUAGUAGAAAUACCUUUUUUUUAAGGGAAUUUAAUCAGUAUCAUUAUGAAGGUUGCAGCUUGUACAAACGUUAUUUGUUGAUUUAUAUAUUUAAUGCUCAUUUAUCCAAUAAAAUAA